AAGGUUUUAAGUUAUUAAAACUAUUAUCCUUCAAAGUUAAAAAUAUAAUUCACUAUUUAUAAGCCUUA
rnacentral:tRNA from 1 species